UCCCGUUGUUAGAGCGGACUGGUACCACCUCUUCCCAUUCCGAACAGAGUCGUGAAACGGUUCAGCGGUGACGAUAGUAUAUGAGCAAUUGUAUGCGAAAAUAGCUCACAGCGGGAA
rnacentral:rRNA from 1 species